ACACAUGCAGUCGAGCGGCAGCACGGGUACUUGUACCUGGUGGCGAGCGGCGGACGGGUGAGUAAUGCCUAGGAAUCUGCCUAGUAGUGGGGGAUAACGUCCGGAAACGGGCGCUAAUACCGCAUACGUCCUACGGGAGAAAGUGGGGGAUCUUCGGACCUCACGCUAUUAGAUGAGCCUAGGUCGGAUUAGCUAGUUGGUGAGGUAAUGGCUCACCAAGGCGACGAUCCGUAACUGGUCUGAGAGGAUGAUCAGUCACACUGGAACUGAGACACGGUCCAGACUCCUACGGGAGGCAGCAGUGGGGAAUAUUGGACAAUGGGCGAAAGCCUGAUCCAGCCAUGCCGCGUGUGUGAAGAAGGUCUUCGGAUUGUAAAGCACUUUAAGUUGGGAGGAAGGGCAGUUACCUAAUACGUGAUUGUUUUGACGUUACCGACAGAAUAAGCACCGGCUAACUCUGUGCCAGCAGCCGCGGUAAUACAGAGGGUGCAAGCGUUAAUCGGAAUUACUGGGCGUAAAGCGCGCGUAGGUGGUUUGUUAAGUUGGAUGUGAAAGCCCCGGGCUCAACCUGGGAACUGCAUCCAAAACUGGCAAGCUAGAGUAUGGUAGAGGGUGGUGGAAUUUCCUGUGUAGCGGUGAAAUGCGUAGAUAUAGGAAGGAACACCAGUGGCGAA
rnacentral:rRNA from 1 species